CCAGACUCCUACGGGAGGCAGCAGUGAGGAAUAUUGGUCAAUGGGCGGGAGCCUGAACCAGCCAAGUCGCGUGAGGGAAGAAGGUACUGAGUAUUGUAAACCUCUUUUGCCAGGGGACAAAGGCGGCCACGGGUGGCCGUAAGAGGGUACCUGGAGAAAAAGCAUCGGCUAACUCCGUGCCAGCAGCCGCGGUAAUACGGAGGAUGCGAGCGUUAUCCGGAUUUAUUGGGUUUAAAGGGUGCGCAGGCGGAGGCACAAGUCAGCGGUAAAAUCGCGGGGCUCAACCCCGCUCCGCCGUUGAAACUGUGUCCCUUGAGUGCGCGAAGGGUAGGCGGAAUGCGUGGUGUAGCGGUGAAAUGCAUAGAUAUCACGCAGAACUCCGAUUGCGGAGGCAGCGCACCGGCGCCCUACUGACGCUCAGGCACGAAAGCGUGGGUAUCGAACAGGAUUAGAUACCCCAGUAGC
rnacentral:rRNA from 1 species